GUGCUAAGGUAGCAUAAUCAUUUGUUUCUUAAUUGGUAGCUGGAAUGAAUGGUUGAGCUGGUUUAGUAAGUGUGUGAGUUUAAAUAGGAAGUUAAAGUCAAGGUAAGAAUUCUUUGAUAGUUUAGGGGACGAUAAGACCCUACAAGCUUAAUAAGUAUACUAGUGAAUUUGUUUUACAGGUUAAUUUAUUUUACUGGGGCGGUAUUGGCGGUUUGACCAUCUAUUUAGCUAAGAUCCUAAAAAUAUAGAAGAAUCGUAAAAGUUACUUUAGGGUUAACAGUGCAAUAUUUUUGGAGAGACCUUAUCGAUAGAUGUGUUUGCUACCUCGAUGUUGAAUUAAAAUUUCUACGUGAGGUAGAAAGUAUAGUAGAGGGUUUGUUCAACCUUUAAAUUUUUACAUGAUCUGAGUUCAAACCGGAG
rnacentral:rRNA from 1 species